AUACUUACCUGGCAGGGGAGAUACCAUGAUCAAGAAGGUGGUUCACCUUGGGCGAGGCCUGACCAUUGCACUCCGGUUGGGUUGACCUCAACGAAUGGGGAUGGGGCGUAGGGGAGUGCAAGC
rnacentral:snRNA from 1 species